CGCGCCUUAAAACCAACCCACACGCGGCACCGGCACGUGCAUCCGGGUGCCCCGCCCCUCGAAGUGAGAGGGCCGGGGUUGAUGCAUGGGGUCCGCGGCGGAAAAAC
rnacentral:sRNA from 1 species